UACAGAGGGGGCAAGCGUUGUUCGGAAUUACUGGGCGUAAAGGGCGCGUAGGCGGCCCGCUAAGUCGAACGUGAAAUCCCUGGGCUCAACCCAGGAACUGCGUCCGAUACUGGCAGGCUUGAAUCCGGGAGAGGCAUGCGGAAUUCCAGGUGUAGCGGUGAAAUGCGUAGAUAUCUGGAGGAACACCGGUGGCGAAGGCGGCAUCCUGGACCGGUAUUGACGCUGAGGCGCGAAAGCCAGGGGAGCAAACGGG
rnacentral:rRNA from 1 species